rnacentral:rRNA from 1 species
UACAGAGGGUGCAAGCGUUAAUCGGAAUUACUGGGCGUAAAGCGCGCGUAGGUGGUUUGUUAAGUUGGAUGUGAAAUCCCCGGGCUCAACCUGGAACUGCAUCCAAAACUGGCAAGCUAGAGUAUGGUAGAGGGUGGUGGAAUUUCCUGUGUAGCGGUGAAAUGCGUAGAUAUAGGAAGGAACACCAGUGGCGAAGGCGACCACCUGGACUGAUACUGACACUGAGGUGACGAAAGCGUGGGGAGCAAACAGG